GACUCCGUAGCUUAACUGGAUAGAGCAUCUGACUACGGAUCAGAAGGUUGGGGGUUCGACUCCCUCCGGAGUCA
rnacentral:tRNA from 1 species